rnacentral:lncRNA from 1 species
GGUGUUCACUGUGUGCAGGUGCUCUGGGUCCAGAGAGAAUACGGGCCUGCCCAGGCUUCCCAUUCAGGAGACAGACUGCCAACAACCAGCCCGAAAAGGACCGCUGCCCAUGUAGAGGGCAAAACAAGAAUUGGAGCCCGGAGCCACCAGUGGAGGAGUCAGCCAUCCCAUGAGGGAGCCAGAACCCAAGCCAGGAAACCAGAGAG